rnacentral:rRNA from 1 species
UACGUAGGGACCAAGCGUUGUUCGGAUUUACUGGGCGUAAAGGGCGCGUAGGCGGCAAUUCAAGUCAUCUGUGAAAUCUCCGGGCUUAACCCGGAACGGCCAGGUGAUACUGUUUUGCUAGAGUGCGGAAGGGGCAAUCGGAAUUCUCGGUGUAGCGGUGAAAUGCGUAGAUAUCGAGAGGAACACCAGAGGUGAAGACGGGUUGCUGGGCCGACACUGACGCUGACAGCGCGAAAGCCAGGGGAGCAAACGGG